rnacentral:rRNA from 1 species
GACGAACGCUGGCGGCGUGCCUAAUACAUGCAAGUCGAGCGGACGGAUGGGAGCUUGCUCCCAGACCGUCAGCGGCGGACGGGUGAGUAACACGUGGGCAACCUGCCUGUAAGACUGGGAUAACUCCGGGAAACCGGGGCUAAUACCGGAUAACUCUUUCCCUCACAUGAGGGAAAGCUGAAAGAUGGCAUCUCGCUAUCACUUACAGAUGGGCCCGCGGGGCAUUAGCUAGUUGGUGAGGUAACGGCUCACCAAGGCGACGAGGCGUAGCCGACCUGAGAGGGUGAUCGGCCACACUGGGACUGGGACACGGCCCAGACUCCUACGGGAGGCAGCAGUAGGGAAUCCUCCGCAAUGGACGAAAGUCUGACGGAGCAACGCCGAGUGAGUGAUGAAGGUUUUCGGAUCGUAAAACUCUGUUGUCAGGGAAGAACAAGUACCGGAGUAACCGCCGGUACCUUGACGGUACCUGACCAGAAAGCCACGGCUAACUACGUG